AAGUCGUAACAAGGUCUCCGUAGGUGAACCUGCGGAGGGAUCAUUAAUGAGAACUUGCCCUAACGGGUAGAUCUCCCACCCUUGUACAACAUGUGCUUGUCUGGCCGCACCCUCGGGUCCGCCGGCCUUCGGGCUGGUCAGCGCCGGACAGGGGAAACUAAAACCUUUAUCACUGUCGUCAGAGUACUAUAUAAUAGUUAAAA
rnacentral:misc_RNA from 1 species